rnacentral:rRNA from 1 species
UACAGAGGGUGCAAGCGUUAAUCGGAAUUACUGGGCGUAAAGCGUGCGCAGGCGGUUUUGUAAGUCUGUCGUGAAAUCCCCGGGCUCAACCUGGGAAUUGCGAUGGAGACUGCAAGGCUAGAAUCUGGCAGAGGGGGGUAGAAUUCCACGUGUGAGCAGUGAAAUGCGUAGAGAUGUGGAGGAACACCGAUGGCGAAGGCAGCCCCCUGGGUCAAGAUUGACGCUCAUGCACGAAAGACGUGGGGAGCAAACGAGG